rnacentral:lncRNA from 1 species
GCACGGAGGUUCCCCGGCAGCCACAGUGCUGCUGGGCCUCCCCCAGCCUGUGCCCUGGGUGUGUAUGGAGAUCAACCAGGAGGCCACUCCACAAACAAGCAGACAAGCUCCUCCUGCAGCUCUGGGGCCUCCUUUUAGAAGAAGCUUCAGGGAUUUUCUUGAAAGUUGGAGGCCAUGACCUUCUGGUCAGGAGUUGAGAGCAAAGCCAGGGACAGACCAGUGCCUCCGGGCAAGGCGGCUUGACAGAGAUGUGACCAUUACUUUGAGAGCUUCCUGAAACCCAGCCGCCGCCUCUGCCAGGGGAGCCGCUCCCACGCAGCUCCCGACUCCUCCCAAGUGCGGUCUUGCUUUCACACCAGUUUCUCCUAAACCAUCUUGAUUGCAUGGAAGAAGUGAUCCGGCUCCAUUUUGCCUGAGGACAGGAGAGAACACUCAGACUCCCCAGGGUCACAUUCAGCGUCUCUACAGCCAGAUGGCUGUGUUGAGGGCUCUGGGCUUUCUCUUGUGCUGCCUUUCAGUCAGCUACCCAGCAGUCACCAGUGGUGGCUCCGGCCUCUCCCUGGAACAGCUCGAGAAGAGGCCGGGCCAUUGCUUCUGGGCUCCCCGAGGACACACCACUGCAGCCUUCUGUAGUGCAGGCUGCAGUCCAAGCCUCCUGGCUCCUAUCGCUGCCGCCUUUGCACCUCCUGGAUCUCACUUGUCUGCUGCAAGAAGGCUCCCUGGUCUCUCAUUCUCCAAUCCCUGGAGACUGGGCCUGUCAUGUCUGGGCCAUCACAGCUCCGACCUGAGGUAGGCACAGGCAUCCCAGUCAGCAAGAGUCGAUGGUUCCUGUGCACUUGAUGACCAUCCUCCUUGAAUUCAGAAAGACAUUUUUUGUUUGAUUUUUACCUAACUCCUUAGUAUUUGCUUUACUUAUUUGGCAAUGCUGGGGAUCCAAUCCCAGGCCUUGUGCAUGCUGAGUGGACCACUGAGCUAUGUCCCGGACCUUGAUGUAUUUAAAAAUCCACCUCUAGGAGAAUGAAUGUAACCACCAAGCACCAUCUGGGAAAGUGUGACAUGGCAAAGCACAUGCAGUGGGGACAGCACGACCAGACUGGGGUCCGCUCCAUAUGUGCCCUGUGGGGUCAGUGGCCCAGCUGCCAGUCUGCAGCAACCAGGGGCGGGGGCGCCCAGCCACGCCCAGGGAUAUCACGUUGGGUAGGAACCCACUGCUGCCAUGUCCCUGCUGGAGCCACCCAACACAGCCGCCAUGCCCAGGGAGGGCUCACCUGCAGAAGGAGGCCAGCGGUGAAGAUGAGGUGACACUAGGGGAGGAGCCAAAGAGGGGACAUCCAGGCUUCUGGGGGUGGG